GACGAACGCUGGCGGCGUGCCUAACACAUGCAAGUCGAGCGAAUGAAGUUCUUUCGGGAAUGGAUUUAGCGGCGGACGGGUGAGUAACACGUGGGCAACCUGCCUCAUAGAGGGGAAUAGCCUUCUGAAAGGGAGAUUAAUACCGCAUAAGAUUGUAGUACCGCAUGGUACAGCAAUUAAAGGAGCAAUCCGCUAUGGGAUGGGCCCGCGGCGCAUUAGCUAGUUGGUGAGGUAACGGCGCACCAAGGCGACGAUGCGUAGCCGACCUGAGAGGGUGAUCGGCCACAUUGGGACUGAGACACGGCCCAGACUCCUACGGGAGGCAGCAGUGGGGAAUAUUGCACAAUGGGGGAAACCCUGAUGCAGCAACGCCGCGUGAGUGAUGACGGCCUUCGGGUUGUAAAGCUCUGUCUUCAGGGACGAUAAUGACGGUACCUGAGGAGGAAGCCACGGCUAACUACGUGCCAGCCGCCGCAGUAAUAC
rnacentral:rRNA from 1 species